AUGAGUGUGAUGAGCUGGAACUGUCGAGGGCUUCGGAACCCUCGGAUAGUUCGAGAGCUUCGCAAUAUUGUGAAGCAAGAAGGACCCGCCCUUCUGUUCUUAAUGGAAACCAAGAUAAAGGGCAAAAGAGUGGAAGACUUGAAGUUUUCUUUAGGUUUUUCCGGUUUCUUUGCCGUUGAUAGCAACGGUCUUAGUGGUGGUGUUGGCCUUUUCUGGUUAAGAGAUGUUAAUGUCAAGCUUGAAAAUUAUAGUUCGUCACAUAUUGAUGUUUCUGUGAAAUAUGGUAAUAAAGCUUGGCGAUUUACUGGUUUCUACGGAGAGCCACGGGUGGAAAAUAGACACCAUAGUUGGUGUUUCCUUCGCACGUUAUUUGCUGUCCCGCAUCAGGCAUGGUUAUGUAUGGGUGAUUUUAACGAGACCUUGCAUGCAAACGAGCACUUCAGUUCUAACCCUAGACCGGAAUACCAGGUGCGGGCAUUCUAG
rnacentral:rRNA from 1 species